rnacentral:rRNA from 1 species
GACGAACGCUGGCGGCGUGCCUAAUACAUGCAAGUCGAACGCACUCUCGUUUAGAUUGAAGGAGUUUGCUCCUGAUUGAUAAACAUUUGAGUGAGUGGCGGACGGGUGAGUAACACGUGGGUAACCUGCCCUAAAGUGGGGGAUAACAUUUGGAAACAGAUGCUAAUACCGCAUAAAACCUAACACCGCAUGGUGUAGGGUUGAAAGAUGGUUUCGGCUAUCACUUUAGGAUGGACCCGCGGUGCAUUAGUUAGUUGGUGAGGUAAAGGCUCACCAAGAUCGUGAUGCAUAGCCGACCUGAGAGGGUAAUCGGCCACACUGGGACUGAGACACGGCCCAGACUCCUACGGGAGGCAGCAGUAGGGAAUCUUCCACAAUGGACGAAAGUCUGAUGGAGCAACGCCGCGUGAGUGAAGAAGGUUUUCGGAUCGUAAAACUCUGUUGUUGGAGAAGAAUGUAUCUGAUAGUAACUGAUCAGGUAGUGACGGUAUCCAACCAGAAAGCCACGGCUAACUACGUG